AUGUCGGCUCAUCGCAUCCUGGGGCUGAAGCAGGUCCCAAGGGUUGGGCUGUUCGCCCAUUAAAGCGGUACGCGAGCUGGGUUUAGAACGUCGUGAGACAGUUCGGUCCCUAUCCUCUGCAGCCGAAGGAGAUUUGAGGAAGGCUGUCCCUAGUACGAGAGGACCGGGAUGGACGCAGCUCUCGUGUGCCAGUUGUUCCGCCAGGAGCAUGGCUGGUUGGCGACCUGCGGAAGGGGUAACCGCUGAAAGCAUCUAAGCGGGAAACCUGUUUCAAGAUGAGAUCUCCCACCGGGUAACCGGGUAAGGCCCGUAGUAGGUGACUACGUUGAUAGGCCGGACGUGUAAGCACCGUAAGGUGUUCAGCUGACCGGUACUAAUCGGCCGAGGGCUUGUGAU
rnacentral:rRNA from 1 species